GAUACAUGCAAGUCGACGGUAACAGGAAGCAGCUUGCUGCUUCGCUGACGAGUGGCGGAGGGAGAGUAAUGUCUGGGAAACUGCCUGAUGGAGGGGGAUAACUACUGGAAACGGUAGCUAAUACCGCAUAACGUCGCAAGACCAAAGAGGGGGACCUUCGGGCCUCUUGCCAUCGGAUGUGCCCAGAUGGGAUUAGCUAGUAGGUGGGGUAACGGCUCACCUAGGCGACGAUCCCUAGCUGGUCUGAGAGGAUGACCAGCCACACUGGAACUGAGACACGGUCCAGACUCCUACGGGAGGCAGCAGUGGGGAAUAUUGCACAAUGGGCGCAAGCCUGAUGCAGCCAUGCCGCGUGUAUGAAGAAGGCCUUCGGGUUGUAAAGUACUUUCAGCGGGGAGGAAGGCGACAGGGUUAAUAACCCUGUCGAUUGACGUUACCCGCAGAAGAAGCACCGGCUAACUCCGUGCCAGCAGCCGCGGUAAUACGGAGGGUGCAAGCGUUAAUCGGAAUUACUGGGCGUAAAGCGCACGCAGGCGGUCUGUCAAGUCGGAUGUGAAAUCCCCGGGCUCAACCUGGGAACUGCAUUCGAAACUGGCAGGCUAGAGUCUUGUAGAGGGGGGUAGAAUUCCAGGUGUAGCGGUGAAAUGCGUAGAGAUCUGGAGGAAUACCGGUGGCGAAGGCGGCCCCCUGGACAAAGACUGACGCUCAGGUGCGAAAGCGUGGGGAGCAAACAGGAUUAGAUACCCUGGUAGUCCACGCCGUAAACGAUGUCGACUUGGAGGUUGUGCCCUUGAGGCGUGGCUUCCGGAGCUAACGCGUUAAGUCGACCGCCUGGGGAGUACGGCCGCAAGGUUAAAACUCAAAUGAAUUGACGGGGGCCCGCACAAGCGGUGGAGCAUGUGGUUUAAUUCGAUGCAACGCGAAGAACCUUACCUACUCUUGACAUCCAGAGAACUUUCCAGAGAUGCAUUGGUGCCUUCGGGAACUCUGAGACAGGUGCUGCAUGGCUGUCGUCAGCUCGUGUUGUGAAAUGUUGGGUUAAGUCCCGCAACGAGCGCAACCCUUAAUCCUUUGUUGCCAGCGGUUAGGCCCGGGAACUCAAAGGGAAACUGCCCAUUGAUAAACUGGGAGGAAGGUUGGGGAUGACGUCA
rnacentral:rRNA from 1 species